rnacentral:rRNA from 1 species
AGUGAACGCUGGCGGUAGGCCUAACACAUGCAAGUCGAACGGCAGCACAGUAAGAGCUUGCUCUUACGGGUGGCGAGUGGCGGACGGGUGAGGAAUACAUCGGAAUCUACUUUUUCGUGGGGGAUAACGUAGGGAAACUUACGCUAAUACCGCAUACGACCUACGGGUGAAAGCAGGGGAUCUUCGGACCUUGCGCGAUUGAAUGAGCCGAUGUCGGAUUAGCUAGUUGGCGGGGUAAAGGCCCACCAAGGCGACGAUCCGUAGCUGGUCUGAGAGGAUGAUCAGCCAAACUGGAACUGAGAAACGGUCCAGACUCCUACGGGAGGCAGCAGUGGGGAAUAUUGGACAAUGGGCGCAAGCCUGAUCCAGCCAUACCGCGUGGGUGAAGAAGGCCUUCGGGUUGGAAAGCCCUUUUGUUGGGAAAGAAAAGCAGCAGGUUAAUACCCCGCUGUUCUGACGGUACCCAAAGAAUAAGCACCGGCUAACUUCGUG